ACUCCUACGGGAGGCAGCAGUGGGGAAUAUUGCACAAUGGGCGCAAGCCUGAUGCAGCCAUGCCGCGUGUAUGAAGAAGGCCUUCGGGUUGUAAAGUACUUUCAGCAGUGAGGAAGGUGGGUAUGUUAAUAGCAUAUUCUAUUUGUACGUUAGCUGCAGAAGAAGCACCGGCUAACUCCGUGCCAGCAGCCGCGGUAAUACGGAGGGUGCGAGCGUUAAUCGGAAUUACUGGGCGUAAAGCGCAUGCAGGUGGUUGUUAAGUCAGAUGUGAAAGCCCGGGGCUCAACCUCGGAAUUGCAUUUGAAACUGGCAAACUAGAGUACUGUAGAGGGGGUAGAAUUUCAGGUGUAGCGGUGAAAUGCGUAGAGAUCUGAAGGAUACCGGUGGCGAAGGCGGCCCCUGGACAGAUACUGACACUCAGAUGCGAAAGCGUGGGAGCAAACAGGAUUAGAUACCCCGUGGUAGGUCAGUC
rnacentral:rRNA from 1 species